GGCCAAGGGAAGCAUAUAAAGGGAAAACAGUAAAGGUCCCAAAAUGGAUCCCUGGGGCACUCCACACAAGACAGUGAACUAGCUUCAAAAC